GAUGAACGCUGGCGGCGUGCCUAAUACAUGCAAGUCGAGCGAACAGACGAGGAGCUUGCUCCUCUGACGUUAGCGGCGGACGGGUGAGUAACACGUGGAUAACCUACCUAUAAGACUGGGAUAACUUCGGGAAACCGGAGCUAAUACCGGAUAAUAUAUUGAACCGCAUGGUUCAAUAGUGAAAGACGGUUUUGCUGUCACUUAUAGAUGGAUCCGCGCCGCAUUAGCUAGUUGGUAAGGUAACGGCUUACCAAGGCGACGAUGCGUAGCCGACCUGAGAGGGUGAUCGGCCACACUGGAACUGAGACACGGCCCAGACUCCUACGGGAAGCAGCAGUAGGGAAUCUUCCGCAAUGGGCGAAAGCCUGACGGAGCAACGCCGCGUGAGUGAUGAAGGUCUUCGGAUCGUAAAACUCUGUUAUUAGGGAAGAACAAAUGUGUAAGUAACUAUGCACGUCUUGACGGUACCUAAUCAGAAAGCCACGGCUAACUACGUG
rnacentral:rRNA from 1 species